UGGGGGAUAUUGCACAAUGGGGGAAACCCUGAUGCAGCGACGCCGCGUGUAGGAAGACGGUCCUCUGGAUUGUAAACUACUGUCUUCGGGGACGAAAAAAGACGGUACCCGACGAGGAAGCCACGGCUAACUACGUGCCAGCAGCCGCGGUAAUACGUAGGUGGCAAGCGUUGUCCGGAAUUACUGGGUGUAAAGGGAGCGUAGGCGGGGAUGCAAGUCAAGUGUUAAAUCCAUCGGCUCAACUGAUGGCUGCGCUUGAAACUGCAACUCUUGAGUGAAGUAGAGGUUGGCGGAAUUCCUAGUGUAGCGGUGAAAUGCGUAGAUAUUAGGAGGAACACCAGUGGCGAAGGCGGCCAACUGGGCUUUUACUGACGCUGAGGCUCGAAAGUAUGGGGAGCAAACAG
rnacentral:rRNA from 1 species